rnacentral:rRNA from 1 species
CCUACGGGUGGCAGCAGUGAGGAAUAUUGGUCAAUGGACGAGAGCCUGAACCAGCCAAGUAGCGUGAAGGAUGACGGCGCCAUGGGUCGUAAACUUCUUUUAUAAGGGAAUAAAGCGCGGCACGUGUGCCGUUGUGCAUGUACUUGAUGAAUAAGGAUCGGCUAACUCCGUGCCAGCAGCCGCGGUAAUACGGAGGAUCCGAGCGUUAUCCGGAUUUAUUGGGUUUAAAGGGUGCGUAGAUGGGUUGUUAAGUCAGUGGUGAAAGUUUGCGGCUCAACCGUAAAAUUGCAAUUGAUACUGGCAGUCUUGAGUACAGUAGAGGUAGGCGGAAUGCGUGGUGUAGCGGUGAAAUGCUUAGAUAUCACGAAGAACCCCGAUUGCGAAGGCAGCUUACUAACCCGGGACUGACAUUGAUGCUCGAAAGUGUGGGUAUCAAACAGGAUUAGAUACCCGGGUAGUC